GACGUAGGGUGCGAGCGUUGUCCGGAUUUAUUGGGCGUAAAGAGCUCGUAGGCGGCUUGUUGCGUCGACUGUGAAAACCCGCGGCUUAACCGCGGGCUUGCAGUUGAUACGGGCAGGCUAGAGUUCGGUAGGGGAGACUGGAAUUCCUGGUGUAGCGGUGAAAUGCGCAGAUAUCAGGAGGAACACCGGUGGCGAAGGCGGGUCUCUGGGCCGAUACUGACGCUGAGGCGCGAAAGCCAGGGGAGCGAACGGG
rnacentral:rRNA from 1 species